GCGCUUGUCACUUGUCAGUCCUCAUGCCUCCCGUGCAGGUAUGCUCUCACAGUGGAACAAACUGAGUGUGAACCCGCCUUUUGCCCACAUGGUGAAGGUGGUGGUGCACACCUCUUCUCGUGCUGCCUGGAGUGGACAGCGGAGGAAGAGCCAAGGUUUGUGCCAAUGAGUUACUUGAGCAAAAGCUCUGGGGUUCAUUUUUUCUCAAAGUUUGGAGGUGUGACAUUUUGUGUUUGUGGCUCGGUUGGUUGGUUGGUUGGUUUGGUUUGUUCAUUUGUUUUUUGGGAAAAAAAAAAAAAGACUAUCUUCAUGUAGGAAAGCUAAU
rnacentral:lncRNA from 1 species